rnacentral:rRNA from 1 species
AAUCAACGCUGGCGGCGCGCUUAACACAUGCAAGUCGCACGAGAAAGGGAGCAAUCCUGAGUAAAGUGGCGUACGGGUGAGUAACACGUGGAUUAUCUACCUCUUUGUGGGGAAUAACUUUGGGAAACCGAAGCUAAUACCGCAUAAGCUCGUGAGAGGAAAGCAGCAAUGCGCAGAGAGAGGAGUCCGCGGUCGAUUAGCUAGUUGGCGGGGUAACGGCCCACCAAGGCUAUGAUCGAUAGCCGGCCUGAGAGGGCACACGGCCACACUGGCACUGAAACACGGACCAGACUCCUACGGGAGGCAGCAGUGGGGAAUCUUGCACAAUGGGGGAAACCCUGAUGCAGCGACGCCGCGUGGGUGAUGAAGUCCUUCGGGAUGUAAAGCCCUUUCGACAGGAACGAUAAUGACGGUACCUGGAGAAGAAGCUGCGGCUAACUACGUGCCAGCAGCCGCGGUAAUACGUAGGCAGCAAGCGUUGUUCGGGGUUACUGGGCGUAAAGAGUAUGUAGGCGGUUAGGUAAGUUUGGUGUGAAAUCUCCCGGCUUAACUGGGAGGGUGCGCCGAAAACUGCCUGGCUCGAGUGCGGGAGAGGGGAGCGGAAUUCCUGGUGUAGCGGUGAAAUGCGUAGAUAUCAGGAGGAACACCUGCGGUGUAGACGGCUCCCUGGACCGUGACUGACGCUGAGAUACGAAAGCGUGGGUAGCAAACAGGAUUAGAUACCCUGGUAGUCCACGCCCUAAACGAUGCAUACUUGGUGUUGGCCAUUCACUUGGUCAGUGCCGGGGCUAACGCGUUAAGUAUGCCGCCUGGGGAGUACGGUCGCAAGGCUGAAACUCAAAUGAAUU